GGCUCAGGAUGAACGCUAGCUACAGGCUUAACACAUGCAAGUCGAGGGGCAUCAGGAAGAAAGCUUGCUUUCUUUGCUGGCGACCGGCGCACGGGUGAGUAACACGUAUCCAACCUGCCCUUUACUCGGGGAUAGCCUUUCGAAAGAAAGAUUAAUACCCGAUAGCAUAAUGAUUCCGCAUGGUUUCAUUAUUAAAGGAUUCCGGUAAAGGAUGGGGAUGCGUUCCAUUAGGUUGUUGGUGAGGUAACGGCCCACCAAGCCUUCGAUGGAUAGGGGUUCUGAGAGGAAGGUCCCCCACAUUGGAACUGAGACACGGUCCAAACUCCUACGGGAGGCAGCAGUGAGGAAUAUUGGUCAAUGGGCGCUAGCCUGAACCAGCCAAGUAGCGUGAAGGAUGAAGGCUCUAUGGGUCGUAAACUUCUUUUAUAUAAGAAUAAAGUGCAGUAUGUAUACUGUUUUGUAUGUAUUAUAUGAAUAAGGAUCGGCUAACUCCGUGCCAGCAGCCGCGGUAAUACGGAGGAUCCGAGCGUUAUCCGGAUUUAUUGGGUUUAAAGGGAGCGUAGGUGGACUGGUAAGUCAGUUGUGAAAGUUUGCGGCUCAACCGUAAAAUUGCAGUUGAUACUGUCAGUCUUGAGUACAGUAGAGGUGGGCGGAAUUCGUGGUGUAGCGGUGAAAUGCUUAGAUAUCACGAAGAACUCCGAUUGCGAAGGCAGCUCACUGGACUGCAACUGACACUGAUGCUCGAAAGUGUGGGUAUCAAACAGGAUUAGAUACCCUGGUAGUCCACACAGUAAACGAUGAAUACUCGCUGUUUGCGAUAUACAGUAAGCGGCCAAGCGAAAGCAUUAAGUAUUCCACCUGGGGAGUACGCCGGCAACGGUGAAACUCAAAGGAAUUGACGGGGGCCCGCACAAGCGGAGGAACAUGUGGUUUAAUUCGAUGAUACGCGAGGAACCUUACCCGGGCUUAAAUUGCAGUGGAAUGAUGUGGAAACAUGUCAGUGAGCAAUCACCGCUGUGAAGGUGCUGCAUGGUUGUCGUCAGCUCGUGCCGUGAGGUGUCGGCUUAAGUGCCAUAACGAGCGCAACCCUUAUCUUUAGUUACUAACAGGUUAUGCUGAGGACUCUGGAGAGACUGCCGUCGUAAGAUGUGAGGAAGGUGGGGAUGACGUCAAAUCAGCACGGCCCUUACGUCCGGGGCUACACACGUGUUACAAUGGGGGGUACAGAAGGCAGCUAGCGGGUGACCGUAUGCUAAUCCCAAAAGCCUCUCUCAGUUCGGAUCGAAGUCUGCAACCCGACUUCGUGAAGCUGGAUUCGCUAGUAAUCGCGCAUCAGCCACGGCGCGGUGAAUACGUUCCCGGGCCUUGUACACACCGCCUGUCAAGCCAUGGGAGCCGGGGGUACCUGAAGUACGUAACCGCAAGGAUCGUCCUAGGGUA
rnacentral:rRNA from 1 species